GUGGAAGCACGUUAAGGUGCGACCGCGUACUUUUUGUAGAACGGUCCGGCGAGUUACGCUGGCUGGCGAGGUUAAGGACUAAAGGUCCGGAGCCGAAGGGAAACCAAGUCUGAACAGGGCGCAUAGUCAGUCGGAGUAGACCCGAAACCGGGUGAUCUAUCCAUGUCCAGGUUGAAGUUGCCGUAAAAGGCAAUGGAGGACCGAACCCACAUCCGUUGAAAAGGGUGGGGAUGAGGUGUGGAUAGGGGAGAAAUUCCAAUCGAACCCGGAGAUAGCUGGUUCUCCUCGAAAUAGCUUUAGGGCUAGCCUCAUACGAGUCUUGCGGAGGUAGAGCACUGAAUUCCUAAGGGGGCGUCAAAGCUUACUAAGGGAUAUCAAACUCCGAAUGCCGUGUAGAUGAUGUAUGGGAGUCAGACGAUCCGAGAUAAGUUGGGUGGUCAAAAGGGAAAGAGCCCAGACCAACAGCUAAGGCCCCAAAAUGUGUGUUAAGUGGAAAAGGAUGUGGGAUUUCGAAGACAACUAGGAUGUUGGCUCAGAAGCAGCCAUUCAUUCAAAGAGUGCGUAAUAGCUCACUGGUCGAGCGUCUUUGCGCGGAGAAUUUAACGGGGCUAAACCUGACACCGAAGCUUAGGCAAUCCAGUAAUGGAUUGGGUAGGGGAGCGUUGUAUACGCGGAGAAACAGUAGCGUAAGCGGCUGUGGAGUGUAUAGAAGUGAGAAUGCCGGAAUGAGUAGCGCGAAUGCAGUGAGAAUCUGCAUGGCCGAAAGCCUCAGGUUUUUGGAGGAAGGUUCGUCCGCUCCAAGUUAGUCGGGAGCUAAGGUGAGGCCGGAAGGCGUAGCCGAUGCACAGACGGUAGAGAUUCCGUCACCACCAAAAGAGUUAAGCACAGGGACACAUUUGAAGUCUCAGAGCCGGGUGUUGGUUCCGGUAGAGAUCGAGGGAAAUUAGUACCGAAGUCUGAGAUGGAAGAUGGCGAGAAAAGCUGUGUGUAUUUCUGAGGUGCCCGUACCGCAAACCGACACAGGUAGGUAGGAAGAAGAUUCUAAGGCCAACGGGAGAAGGGUUGUUAAGGAACUCGGCAAAUUGACCCCGUAACUUCGGGAGAAGGGGUGCUCCAGAGAUGGAGCCGCAGAGAAUCGGCCCAAGCAACUGUUUACCAAAAACACAGGUUUGUGCUAAAUCGAAAGAUGACGUAUACGAGCUGACGCCUGCCCGGUGCUGGAAGGUUAAGAGGAGAUGUGCAAGCAUUGAAUCGAAGCCCCAGUGAACGGCGGCCGUAACUAUAACGGUCCUAAGGUAGCGAAAUUCCUUGUCAGGUAAGUUCUGACCCGCAUGAAAGGCGUAAUGAUUUGGGCACUGUCUCAACAGCCCGCCCGGCGAAAUUGUAGUACCGGUGAAGAUGCCGGUUACCCGCGACAAGACGGAAAGACCCCAUGGAGCUUUACUGUAGCCUAAUAUUGGGUUUCGAUGUUGCAUGCACAGGAUAGAUGGGACACUGGGAAACAGGAGCUUUGGCUUCUGCGGAGUGGCCGUUGGGAUACCAUCCUUGCGAUAUUGGAAUUCUAACCUGCGGCUCUGAAUCGAGUCGGGGGACAUUGUUAGGUGGGCAGUUUGACUGGGGCGGUCGCCUCCUAAAAAGUAACGGAGGCGUUCAAAGGUUCGCUCAGCUUGAACGGAAAUCAAGCAAAAGAGUGCAAACGCAGAAGCGAGCCUAACUGCGAGACUGACGGGUCGAGCAGUAACGAAAGUUGGAGUUAGUGAUCCGGUGGUAUGUGAGUGGAAAUGCCAUCGCUCAACGGAUAAAAGUUACCCUGGGGAUAACAGGCUGAUCUCCCCCAAGAGUCCACAUCGACGGGGAGGUUUGGCACCUCGAUGUCGGCUCAUCGCAUCCUGGGGCUGAAGUAGGUCCCAAG
rnacentral:rRNA from 1 species